rnacentral:misc_RNA from 1 species
GAUGAAGAACGUAGUGAAAUGCGAUAAGUAAUGCGAAUUGCAGAAUCCGUGAGUCAUCGAAUCUUUGAACGCACAUUGCGCCCUUUGGUAUUCCGAAGGGCAUGCCUGUUCGAGCGUCAUUAUCACCCCUCAAGCCCCGGCUUGGUGUUGGGCUCUCGGUGGUCGUCUCCGACCACCCGUCUCAAAGAUAGUGACGGCGUCCCAGAGGGAACCGGUACGAGGAGCUUUCACGAGCAUGUACGCGGGACGACUCUGCGGGCGACGGUCUUAUUUACUUUAUAUACAAGUGUUGACCUCGGAUCAGGUAGGAAUACCCGCUGAACUUAAGCAUAUCAAUAAGCGGAGGA